rnacentral:rRNA from 1 species
UCCCAGGUUAAGCCCGGGGAUUUCACAUCCAACUUAACAGACCGCCUGCGUGCGCUUUACGCCCAGUCAUUCCGAUUAACGCUUGCACCCUCCGUAUUACCGCGGCUGCUGGCACGGAGUUAGCCGGUGCUUCUUCUGCGGGUAACGUCAAUGAACAAGGUUAUUAACCUUGUCCCCUUCCUCCCCGCUGAAAGUGCUUUACAACCCGAAGGCCUUCUUCACACACGCGGCAUGGCUGCAUCAGGGUUUCCCCCAUUGUGCAAUAUUCCCCACUGCUGCCUCCCGUAGGAGUCUGGACCGUGUCUCAGUUCCAGUGUGGCUGGUCAUCCUCUCAGACCAGCUAGGGAUCGUCGCCUAGGUGAGCCGUUACCUCACCUACUAGCUAAUCCCAUCUGGGUUCAUCCGAUGGCGUGAGGCCCGAAGGUCCCCCACUUUGGUCUUGCGACGUUAUGCGGUAUUAGC